UACAGAGACCACAAACGUUAUCCGGAAUCAUUGGGCGUAAAGCGUACCGAUAGGUGGUUUACUAAGCCAGAGGUGAAAUCUCCGAGCCCAACUCGGAAUCUGUCCUUUGGAACUGGUAAACUAGAGGGACAAAGAGGAAGCUGGAACAAACGGUGUAGUAGUGAAAUGCGUUGAUAUCGUUUGGAACACCAAUAGCGAAGGCUGGCUUCUGGGUGUCACCUGACACUGCUAGGACGAAAGCGUGGGGAGCGAAUGGGAUUAGAAA
rnacentral:rRNA from 1 species